rnacentral:rRNA from 1 species
AGCGAACCGGGGGAACUGAAACAUCUAAGUACCCCGAGGAAAAGAAAUCAACCGAGAUUCCCCCAGUAGCGGCGAGCGAACGGGGAGCAGCCCAGAGUCUGAAUCAGCUUGUGUGUUAGUGGAACGGUCUGGAAAGUCCGACGGUACAGGGUGAUAGUCCCGUACACCAAAAUGCACAGGUUGUGAACUCGAAGAGUAGGGCGGGACACGUGGUAUCCUGUCUGAAUAUGGGGGGACCAUCCUCCAAGGCUAAAUACUCCUGACUGACCGAUAGUGAACCAGUACCGUGAGGGAAAGGCGAAAAGAACCCCGGCGAGGGGAGUGAAAAAGAACCUGAAACCGUGUACGUACAAGCAGUGGGAGCCUCUUUAUGGGGUGACUGCGUACCUUUUGUAUAAUGGGUCAGCGACUUAUAUUCUGUAGCAAGGUUAACCGUAUAGGGGAGCCGAAGGGAAACCGAGUCUUAACUGGGCGUUAAGUUGCAGGGUAUAGACCCGAAACCCGGUGAUCUAGCCAUGGGCAGGUUGAAGGUUGGGUAACACUAACUGGAGGACCGAACCGACUAAUGUUGAAAAAUUAGCGGAUGACUUGUGGCUGGGGGUGAAAGGCCAAUCAAACCGGGAGAUAGCUGGUUCUCCCCGAAAGCUAUUUAGGUAGCGCCUCGUGAACUCAUCUUCGGGGGUAGAGCACUGUUUCGGCUAGGGGGUCAUCCCGACUUACCAACCCGAUGCAAACUGCGAAUACCGAAGAAUGUUAUCACGGGAGACACACGGCGGGUGCUAACGUCCGUCGUGAAGAGGGAAACAACCCAGACCGCCAGCUAAGGUCCCAAAGUCAUGGUUAAGUGGGAAACGAUGUGGGAAGGCACAGACAGCCAGGAUGUUGGCUUAGAAGCAGCCAUCAUUUAAAGAAAGCGUAAUAGCUCACUGGUCGAGUCGGCCUGCGCGGAAGAUGUAACGGGGCUAAACCAUGCACCGAAGCUGCGGCAGCGACACUAUGUGUUGUUGGGUAGGGGAGCGUUCUGUAAGCCGUUGAAGGUGUGCUGUGAGGCAUGCUGGAGGUAUCAGAAGUGCGAAUGCUGACAUAAGUAACGAUAAUGCGGGUGAAAAACCCGCACGCCGGAAGACCAAGGGUUCCUGUCCAACGUUAAUCGGGGCAGGGUGAGUCGACCCCUAAGGCGAGGCCGAAAGGCGUAGUCGAUGGGAAACAGGUUAAUAUUCCUGUACUUGGUGUUACUGCGAAGGGGGGACGGAGAAGGCUAUGUUAGCCGGGCGACGGUUGUCCCGGUUUAAGCAUGUAGGCGGAGGUUCCAGGUAAAUCCGGUACCUUUUUAACGCUGAGGUGUGAUGACGAGGCACUACGGUGCUGAAGUAACAAAUGCCCUGCUUCCAGGAAAAGCCUCUAAGCAUCAGGUAACACGAAAUCGUACCCCAAACCGACACAGGUGGUCAGGUAGAGAAUACCAAGGCGCUUGAGAGAACUCGGGUGAAGGAACUAGGCAAAAUGGUGCCGUAACUUCGGGAGAAGGCACGCUGAUAUGUAGGUGAAGCGGUUUACCCGUGGAGCUGAAAUCAGUCGAAGAUACCAGCUGGCUGCAACUGUUUAUUAAAAACACAGCACUGUGCAAACACGAAAGUGGACGUAUACGGUGUGACGCCUGCCCGGUGCCGGAAGGUUAAUUGAUGGGGUUAUCCGUAAGGAGAAGCUCUUGAUCGAAGCCCCGGUAAACGGCGGCCGUAACUAUAACGGUCCUAAGGUAGCGAAAUUCCUUGUCGGGUAAGUUCCGACCUGCACGAAUGGCGUAAUGAUGGCCAGGCUGUCUCCACCCGAGACUCAGUGAAAUUGAACUCGCUGUGAAGAUGCAGUGUACCCGCGGCAAGACGGAAAGACCCCGUGAACCUUUACUAUAGCUUGACACUGAACACUGGUCCUUGAUGUGUAGGAUAGGUGGGAGGCUUUGAAGUGUGGACGCCAGUCUGCAUGGAGCCAUCCUUGAAAUACCACCCUUUAAUGGCU